CAGCCGUAAACUAUGCGCGUUAGGUGUACUGGUGACCACGAGUCACCGGGGUGCCGAAGGGAAACCGUGAAACGUGCCGCCUGGGAAGUACGGUCGCAAGGCUGAAACUUAAAGGAAUUGGCGGGGGAGCACCGCAACGGGUGGAGCCUGCGGUUUAAUUGGACUCAACGCCGGAAAUCUCACCGGAUAGGACAGACAUAUGAUAGUCGGGCUGAAGACUCUACUUGAUGAUCUGAGAGGUGGUGCAUGGCCGUCAGUGACU
rnacentral:rRNA from 1 species